ACUUAAAUCCACACCACCCUGAACGCACCCAUUCUGAUCUUGGAAGCAAAGCAGGGUUGGGCGUGGUUAGUACUUGGGUGGGAGACUGCCUGGGAAUACUGGGUGCUGUAGGCU
ensembl:rRNA 5S_rRNA 5S ribosomal RNA